GACGAACGCUGGCGGCGUGCCUAAUACAUGCAAGUAGAACGCUGAAGGAGGAGCUUGCUUCUCUGGAUGAGUUGCGAACGGGUGAGUAACGCGUAGGUAACCUGCCUGGUAGCGGGGGAUAACUAUUGGAAACGAUAGCUAAUACCGCAUAACAGUAGAUAUCGCAUGAUAUCUACUUGAAAGGUGCAAUUGCAUCACUACCAGAUGGACCUGCGUUGUAUUAGCUAGUUGGUGAGGUAACGGCUCACCAAGGCGACGAUACAUAGCCGACCUGAGAGGGUGAUCGGCCACACUGGGACUGAGACACGGCCCAGACUCCUACGGGAGGCAGCAGUAGGGAAUCUUCGGCAAUAGACGGAAGUCUGACCGAGCAACGCCGCGUGAGUGAAGAAGGUUUUCGGAUCGUAAAGCUCUGUUGUAAGAGAAGAACGAGUGUGAGAGUGGAAAGUUCACACUGUGACGGUAUCUUACCAGAAAGGGACGGCUAACUACGUG
rnacentral:rRNA from 1 species